ensembl:lncRNA
CCCUUGUGUGUGUGUGUGUGUGUGUGUGUGUGUGUGUGUGUGUGUGUGUGUGUGUGUGUGUGUGUGUGUGUGUGUGUGUGUGUGUGUGUGUGUGUGUGUGUGUGUGUGUGUGUGUGUGUGUGAAGAAAGGAGUUUAAAAGCUGCCUCUAAGUCAUCCAAUAGGAUGACUUUACAGCAAGCUCUCGGAGUGUGCUUCCACACGCGCACACACGCACACACACACAGACUACACACACGGGGCAGCCAAUGUCACACAUAGAUGCGUGUCAGCUCCCACGCGCCCCAACAUACUAUCACACUCAGGCGAUUGUAAAAGCUCAAAAUCACACGUGUUUAGGCUUACGGGAUGCACACAACAUGCCCAUAGCCGCACAGUUACAACAUCUGGACCUGAACAAGGCAUAAUCUGCGUAUUAUCUAAACAUGCUAACUUCGUGCACGUCCUCUGUAAGGUGUUAGCAUGAUGGUUACAUGCUAAGACACCACAAGGCUAACGUAGAAAAUAAUAGAGUGAAUGUGAUGGGAAAGUGUGAACUUGUGCGGGGUUGACCUGCUAUAAGAUCCUCUCUCGCUGCUGCCAGUCGGCCUAAUGCCGCCAGCGUUUAAGUUGCUUUCGGUUUGAGCCUGUUUGCUACUUUUCGCAUGCUGCUAAGUGGUGCUGGGGCAAAGUGCUGGCGAGGGUCAGGUACUGAUACGAACGGCCUCACGAACGCACAAAGGAUAGAGACUGAAGGUCUGCUCAUGAGGGCUUUCAUCAGUGCAUUGAGGGAAUCUAAGCUUAAUGGGGAUGGCCUCGCUAGGUAUAAUACCAAUCUCCCUUUGAGACUUAUGUUAUGUUUCCUCUCCACAAGCGGCCAUAAUAUUGGUCCGCUGAUGACUAAUGUCUGAUUGUUUAGCUUCAACUUCAGAGACCGGUUAAGGGCAGCCAGUUAAUCUGUUUAUUUGUGUAGCCUUUUGUUCACUUUUCACCAGCCGUGUCUGUGGUUAUAGGAGUGCCUCUAGGUGUUGUUAGUCAUAUUAAUUCUUCAGGUCUGUUAACGUACAACCCAGGCUGGCCAGGACGCGUGCCAAAGAAAAUGGAUUGCACUUGAGGAAUCAAUUGAAAUAACAUCAGGCGUGCCAAAAACCGCAGGCCAAUGACUGCAAAUGUCCAAAACAAGCCAGAGUCGAUUUGAAACUGAGGGCACAGCUCUGGAUCACACCAUUCGACUAUGCAACAACAACAGCCAUACGGGUGCAGAUAAUCACCAGACGGAGCCACUAAGGAGGCUCCCCUGUACCAUGACGACACACUCAGCCCGUGGACUCACGCUGCAAACCCUGGUCUUUCUCUAACCCGCAGCGCUCUGCCUCUGCCAUACCUCUGGGCGUCGGGUACACCCCCCCCCUGCGUCCGAGCCAGCCGGGGAGGAGUCCACAGCACUGUGCUAUCCCCCUGUGUUUCUGGCCUCCUUUUCUUUUUCUGCGUGUCGGCUAUUCUGAACUACGGUGCAUUGUUAGAAACACUUCCCUGUGGAUACCUCAGGGAUAAUCCACCCCAGCGCCUUUCUCCUCCUCCUCCUCCUCCUCCUCC